GUGAGAGGAAUGUUACAUUUGUCUUUACAAAUAAAUUGUAAAUCUGUUGGUAGAUAAAGUUAGCACCUAGAGAUAAAAGAAACAAUGGGAGGGAUUACACUGAUUGGUGAAUGGAAAAAGAGAUUUGCCUUUACAAACAAACUGUAGGUUUGCUGGUAAAUGAAACUGGGUAACAGAAGAUGAAAGAAGCAACAGGGGGGGAAACUAUGAAUUCUACAAGAAUUAAAAAUUAAAAGGGAGGGUUAUACAUUAGAGGGGAAUGUCAGGUGUCAGGCGUUCCGGGAAGUCUGUGCCUCUCGAGUACCUCAGCCAAUGGGGAAAGAGAGAGGGAAAAGCGGCCGGGAAAUUAGGAUAAAAAGGGAGGCUGCGUCCUCCAAAAAUUCGAGAGAUCCCAGGGGAAUGCCCCAUGGCCUCUCCCUUUAUUCGAAUAAAGCAAAAAGGACUCCUCUGUCUCCUUUUUGGACAUAAACCUCUGGUGUUUGUGGAUUAAUUUUCCUUACAAUUUGGGGGCUCGUGUCCGGGAUAUUUCCACCGUCCAGGGCAGCAGGCAGCGGUGGAGCUGAAGGCGCGCCUCACCCAGUUUCGGUGAUCAGCUCCUCUGGGUGCCGGCUGGCCCCGGGCGAUUGAUUGGGUUCCCGAGACUGUCCAGGAGACAGACGAGUGGCGGACCAGGGGUCCGUGAAGAGUCCGCAGGGAAGGACCAGUGAAAAUCUCACCGGAGGCUCAGCUGGCACAGACCCUGCCUUUGGACUUUGCUGUUCACAACAUCCAGCCAGGAGAUUGGAUCCUAGUUAAGGAGUGGAAAGAAGCACCGCUGGUGGUGAAGUGGCGUGGACCGUUCCAGGUGUUGCUGACCACAGAAACAGCCGUCAAGACAGCUGAUCACGGGUGGACCCAUCACACUCAGGUCAAGGUCUCUGAGGCCCCAGAGAUUUGGACAUCUCAGCUGGAGGAGAGGGACGGGAAGCUGCAACUAACACUCCGCAGGGGCGGACUGGAGAAGUAGCAAGUGCGUCGACAUCGAGGGAAGCCUCGUAUGCCCACCCACGGACUGCCUGCUGAAACAGUUUGUGUGGGCAUCCCUCCUCUCGGAUCUCCAGUCUGGCUGGGGGCCAGCCCUUUGCUGUCACUGUUUUCUUUGUGUUGGGCUGUUUCUGUGCCUUCACUAACCACAGGUGCAGAAAACAACGUGAAAGUCAAAAUUGGUUUGGGGAAUUACAUAACACCAUCAGAAUGUUUCUCUUAAUAAUCUUACCUUUAUACUGUCAGUUAGUGUGGGGCCAGGAAUGAGAAAAUAAGUUUUUAACUUUAGGAGAAGAAGUAGCAAAAACCUUUAACCUUAGCAAUUGCUGGGUCUGUGGGGGGCCAGGGGGAUCUGAAAACUGGCCAUGGGUGGCCAGCCCAGUCGAACCUAAAUGGUAGGUUAGCACCCUGAGUGAGGUCCAUAAUGGAACAGGAUUCUGGGAUGAAGAAGGAAGUCCAUGGCAGCUUCAUUCUUCUGAAAGAGGAACUUAUUGUCUAAAUAGAACAGGAAGCAAAUCCGUGGGAAAAAGUGUUUGUGACUGGACUUUAUCAGUGGAACUGGCAACACUGGAAUGGAACUCGAACUCUUUUUAUCAGGUUCUGGUCCAAAUAUAAUAAGACAGAUCUGGGAUGUAACUGCAGCUGGAAACCUCAUGUGGGAGCAUAGAAGUGCAAAUACUGUGAUUCCUAUGGUGGGGCAACUAUUGUUGGGGGACCACUAGGCCCAGGAAGCAAGCUCUAUUUUGACCCCCCAGUAGAUCAUGAAAAUUGGGAAGGUCCCUUUGCCAAUGGGACCUGGGCCUUAAAGGGGCAUUACUGGAUUUGUGGCCAACACGCCUAUCACAGGUUACCCCCAAACUGGUUGGGGAUAUGUUAUGUGGGGUAUAUCAGACCUCUGUUCUUUCUGCUACCACAGGUUCAGGGAAACCAAUUAGAAAUCAAGGUAUAUGAUAAUCUAAUUAGGGAAAAGCGGUCAAUUGAUGUAUCCCUGGCUGGGGGUAGCACCCAAAAGUGGGUAAUAAUGAGUGGCCACCUGAACAAACCAUACAACACUAUGGACCAGCCACUUAAAAUCCUAAUAAAUUAAUAUCAGGUGCCAGAGAGCCCAUUUAUAAUUUAAAUCGAAUAAUUAGGUUACAAGCUGUCUUUGAAAUAGUAAGUAACCAGACAGCUACAGCUCUUGACCUUCUUGCUGACCAAUCUACUCAGAUGAGAAAUGCAAUAUUUCAACACCGGAUGGUAUUAGACUAUUUAUUAGCAGAAGAAGGGGGGGUGUGUGGCAAAUUAAAUUGCUCAAUUUGCUGUUUGCAAAUAGAUGACAAUGGAAAAGUGGUGAAACAAAUAGCAAAAGGAAUAAGAAAGUUAGCUCAUGUACCUGUCCAAACAUGGAAAGGAUGGGAAUGGGACAUGUUUUCAUGGCUACCUGCUGGACUGUGGGUUAAACAACUGCUUUUUUUUUCCUCUUAUGUGCUGUAGCAACUCUAAUCUUUUUACCAUGCAUGAUUCCUUGCUUAGUACAACUUAUUCAACAUGUGAUCAAGGGGAUGCAGGUUAUAGCCAUGCCUACUGACCCAGAGGUGGCUACAAAAGGACAGAAAUUGAUGUCAUUGCAAAUAAUUGCAAAACCAAAAAAGACACAAGAACAAGAAAUUAAGACAAUGAUAGCUAAAGUUUGUAAAGACAAUUACUAAAAAUAAAAAAGAGGAGGGAUUGAGAGGAAUGUUACAUUUGUCUUUACAAAUAAAUUGUAAAUCUGUUGGUAGAUAAAGUUAGCACCUAGAGAUAAAAGAAACAAUGGGAGGGAUUACACUGAUUGGUGAAUGGAAAAAGAGAUUUGCCUUUACAAACAAACUGUAGGUUUGCUGGUAAAUGAAACUGGGUAACAGAAGAUGAAAGAAGCAACAGGGGGGGAAACUAUGAAUUCUACAAGAAUUAAAAAUUAAAAGGGAGGGUUAUACAUUAGAGGGGAAUGUCAGGUGUCAGGCGUUCCGGGAAGUCUGUGCCUCUCGAGUACCUCAGCCAAUGGGGAAAGAGAGAGGGAAAAGCGGCCGGGAAAUUAGGAUAAAAAGGGAGGCUGCGUCCUCCAAAAAUUCGAGAGAUCCCAGGGGAAUGCCCCAUGGCCUCUCCCUUUAUUCGAAUAAAGCAAAAAGGACUCCUCUGUCUCCUUUUUGGACAUAAA